CCACACGUCUCAUUCUCUAAACUCCAUUCUCCUCAUCUCAAACACUCUUUUCUUACCUCUAGAUCAAGAGAAAACCAAGGGAAGAUCGAAUCAUCCUCUUCUCUUCUUCUUUCUUGAAAGUUUGAAGGAGGCGAGGCAUUGGCCAAAGGUAAAGGACAGGUGAAGAUUUAACACCGGAGUUGGGUAACUCGCCAAGUUUGUGAGUGGGGAUUUAUCGAUUUCAUGGAAUAUAAUAUCAUGCAUGCUUUUACUAUAUUUGGUUUUCAUUUCCUUUGAAUGACACUUUACAUUGUUAAAAGCUUCUUGAAUAUUUUUCAUGAUACUUGAAAUCAUUGUUUUGAUCUUAAAUGAGUUUAUUCAAAAUAUUUGCGAGAAUAUAUUCCUUGUGUUUGAGAACUUUGUUCUUGAAUUGUAUAUUCAAGAAUUGAUUGCAAACGAUGUCUUCUUGGAGAAAAAGGUAUUAUUCUAUGAUGAAAUGGUAUUUACUUGAGUUGAUAUGUGCAAUCUACUCACCCUUAUAGUGGGGGUUAUUUAUGUGAAAAUUGGUGAAAUCAUAUUGAGAUUUCUAUAAUUAUGAUGAUUCCAUAUACUAGGCCUGUGCACGGUAUUAUAGUUAUUGGUUUGAUGGUGACAUGGAGCCAAGCUCUGGUACUUACUAUAGUAAGAGAGAGAGUAUCCAUGGGUUGACCUAGUUGGAGUGGCGUGGAGAACUCAGUUGAGGUACCACUCUUUUAGGAGGCGUAUAGAGAACCUGAAAGGUGUGCAAGUUUGUGUGCUCAAAGUCACCACACGGGUUACCCAAUGGCCAAUGUUAAGAGACGGCCAUCUUGGCGGCUCCAGACCUAACCGUGACCACAGUUAACAAUGGACGGUUUCUUGAGGCUAUCUAUCACAUUGAUGGUUUUUGACAUGUUUCAUUUCAUAAAGCUCUGAUUUUGUGGUAGUACAGCAUAGUGGUGCGGACGCGUCGUGCUUGGCAAGUGUUGACUUUCGGUGCAUUUCCUCUAAGUUGUGUAUGUAUAUUUCCAGUCCAUGGCAUGUAUCAAGUGGGAUCCAUUAGGGUAUUUUGUUGACUUGUUUGUAUACAUUUCCCCUCUUUAUAAACCCUUGUAUUUGGUGUUGUUUAAGUGUUGU